GCAACCAAAGGCAACCGAGCAGCAAACCUCAGAAGGCAGAGCCGGUUACGGAGGGGGAAUCUCAAGCACCUAGUGUCCCCCAGAGACUGGGCCCAGCUCGAUCAAAGGAAAAGUCAGCCUCCAAGAGUCCACAAUGACGCAGAGGAAGCCAGGGGAAACAGUCAGUGGCGAGUCACCAUUGAUUCACAGUCUGAACGGUAGAGCAGGACCAAGCUGCAACCCGCAGCCUCUCGUAACCCUCGCUUUACUGAUAAAGGAACGGGAAGCAGGAAAGUUAACCAAUCCGAGUCCCACUGCCAGCGUCAGAGCCAGAACCACCGCUCUCUGGCCUUCUGUUUGUAUAGCUUUUAACAGUUUGCAGACUUUCUCACGUGCUUUAGUUUCUUCUGAUCCUGAACUGAAAGCAAAUAUUUAUCCUUCAAGGGAGAGGCCAAAUGAGGACUGCUUCGUUUCCUCAUCUGAGAGGAUAAGAGUACUUUCUUAAUGGAAGUCUUACUAGAAUUAAAUGGGUUGAUAAUGUUGGGGUUUCAAGAGGAUAUAAUAAAGGACACCCCUCAUCCAUUACAAAGCUCUGAGUAGUUAAGGAAUGGACGUGAACAAGUCAAAUAAAUGGAAUCAAAAUAUCAACUUUACUCUCAUAGGUUUUAUAUUGAAGUCAGUGGUUUGUAUGUGUGGGUAAGUGAACCCCAGAAUUAGGCAAGGUACCACUUGGCCGGGGCAGGCCGCCCAGUUGUGAACUGUCCCUGAAAACCAGGCAUUAGGAGAGAAGAGAACCAACAGGGGUUCUGGAGGAGACCUGCUGCGGAAAGAAAGAAGAAAGAGGCUUCCUACCCACGUACUCACCACGGAGAAACUGCUUCUCCUCCCCUUCCGUGGCCUCCUGUCCCUCUCCGCUCCUCGGGACGAGUGAGUCAAGGAAAAAGGAGAGGUCAGAAAUUUUAUGCCAGAAGUGCUUCUUCUGCCCUGUGGAAGGAAAUAUCAGGGGGUCUUUAUCCUAAAGAGAUAGAUGCUGAAGAAAAUGGAUGAAAUGAGAUUAAUCCUCUGGACAACAUGGUGACCAUAUCAAGACUAAAAGAUAUGUCAGCAUUCUCAGAAACAGCCUCCCUCUUUCCCUUACACACACCCACACACAAUGGAAGCUUGAUGGAAGCAUAAACUCUUGGUAUACUAUUUACUAUAUUUUCAUAUAUAUAUAUAUCCCCAUAUGCUGUAUUAUGGAUUUGCUGAACUCAUUUGUAGUUCUUUAUAUUUGGCAUUUAUAAAUAACUUAAGUCAAAAGAAUACUAAUUUAACAAUCUAAAUGUAAGAUCAAAAAACCUGUUCUUGUUAAUAAGCAAAUUGGUAUCUUUUGGACUGAAGACAGAGUAACCAAGGAGCAGGUGUAUUUGAAAAAAAGUUCAUUUAUCAGUUUAUGAAGAAAAGACACAUUAUUAUCUCUUUAGCCAGUAAUUUCCUUCAAGGAGGUUAUUAUACAGGAAGUCUAAUAGUGUGCAUAAAGCUGCCUGGUGAACAUGAUACAUGUGGAAUUACAUGAUGAGAAUAUUUACUGGUAUUGGGGCUGGAUUUUUUAUGUUGAAGUGGGUCCUUAAGUCCUAACUCAUGAUAUCUAAAGUUCUUAAAAUCUACUACUCUUAAGUUACUAAUAUUAAAUGAAAGGAUGCUUCUUUCUGCUCUUGAGUUGCACUUCUGGGAUUUCAAGUUCCUGCUUUUACCUUUAAGAAAAAACAGUAACCUUGGUUGAAAGAUCAUUGUCUAAAUAUCUCUGAACAGUUAGUUGUCAAAGUAGCAGGAUGAAAUGUCACUAUGUUUAAAAUAACAGCUGAUAGCUCCUCUCCAUUUAAAAUGCUCCUGUAUAUUAAAAGAGUAUAUAAAUAAGGUAUUUUUCACAUAAAACCUAAGCACUCCUAAAAGACAGACUGAUUCCAGGCUAACAAGACUUGACCCUUAUCUACUACAGAAAAAAGUCCAUCAGAACAUUAUGAUUUUUUUAGGAAACAAAUUAUGUCGCUAUGCUGAAGAAAUCUCCAAGAAGAAACUAAAUGGUUCAUGCCAAUAGUACCUCCAGGCUUCUUAGGUUGAAGGUACAAUAAAGCUCUCCAAAAAAGAAAUAGGGAAUGGGGAACAACUGUUGGCACUGUAGCUUUAUAGACACAUUUUAGUGGAAUGCUUCUUUCCAUGUGUUUAUCAAACUGGCACCUGCAUGGCAAGUGCCUGAGCAUGAGAAGUUUCUGCAAAAUGCAGACUCCUGGGUCACACUAAGGACUUCAGCAACUGUGGUUUUUAUGGAAUUGCUACAUUCUAAGAAAAUUACGAAUGAUACAUAAUAAUCUGUUUGGGGGAACUCGGGUGGAGUCCUGGAAUGUAUAGUU